rnacentral:rRNA from 1 species
AUUGAACGCUAGCGGGAUGCCUUACACAUGCAAGUCGAACGGCAGCACGGACUUCGGUCUGGUGGCGAGUGGCGAACGGGUGAGUAAUGUAUCGGAACGUGCCUAGUAGCGGGGGAUAACUACGCGAAAGCGUAGCUAAUACCGCAUACGCCCUACGGGGGAAAGCAGGGGAUCGCAAGACCUUGCACUAUUAGAGCGGCCGAUAUCGGAUUAGCUAGUUGGUGGGGUAACGGCUCACCAAGGCGACGAUCCGUAGCUGGUUUGAGAGGACGACCAGCCACACUGGGACUGAGACACGACCCAGACUCCUACGGGAGGCAGCAGUGGGGAAUUUUGGACAAUGGGGGAAACCCUGAUCCAGCCAUCCCGCGUGUGCGAUGAAGGCCUUCGGGUUGUAAAGCACUUUUGGCAGGAAAGAAACGUCAUGGGUUAAUACCCCGUGAAACUGACGGUACCUGCAGAAUAAGCACCGGCUAACUACGUGCCAGCAGCCGCGGUAAUACGUAGGGUGCAAGCGUUAAUCGGAAUUACUGGGCGUAAAGCGUGCGCAGGCGGUUCGGAAAGAAAGAUGUGAAAUCCCAGAGCUUAACUUUGGAACUGCAUUUUUAACUACCGAGCUAGAGUGUGUCAGAGGGAGGUGGAAUUCCGCGUGUAGCAGUGAAAUGCGUAGAUAUGCGGAGGAACACCGAUGGCGAAGGCAGCCUCCUGGGAUAACACUGACGCUCAUGCACGAAAGCGUGGGGAGCAAACAGG